rnacentral:rRNA from 1 species
GACGAACGCUGGCGGCGUGCUUAACACAUGCAAGUCGAACGCUGAAGCUCAGCUUUUGUUGGGUGGAUGAGUGGCGAACGGGUGAGUAACACGUGAGUAACCUGCCCCCUUCUUUGGGAUAACGCCCGGAAACGGGUGCUAAUACUGGAUAUUCACUGGUCUUCGCAUGGGGGUUGGUGGAAAGGGUUUUUCUGGUGGGGGAUGGGCUCGCGGCCUAUCAGCUUGUUGGUGGGGUGAUGGCCUACCAAGGCUUUGACGGGUAGCCGGCCUGAGAGGGUGACCGGUCACAUUGGGACUGAGAUACGGCCCAGACUCCUACGGGAGGCAGCAGUGGGGAAUAUGGCACAAUGGGCGCAAGCCUGAUGCAGCGACGCCGCGUGAGGGAUGGGGGCCUUCGGGUUGUGAACCUCUUUCGCUCAUGGUCAAGCCGCAACAAUGGUUGUGGUGAGGGUAGUGGGUAAAGAAGCGCCGGCUAACUACGUG